rnacentral:misc_RNA from 1 species
CAGAGUUUGCAAGGACUCCCUAAAACCAUUGUGAAACCUACCUUCUACCGUUUGCUUCGGCGGGCGGGCCCAGCGCCCCCCCCGGCCCCCCGCGGGCGCCCCGCCGGAGGAUACCCAAAACUCUUUGACAUUAGUGGCCUCUCUGAGUAUUCUUUACUGAAUAAGUCAAA